rnacentral:rRNA from 1 species
UGGGGAAUUUUGGACAAUGGGGGAAACCCUGAUCCAGCCAUGCCGCGUGAGUGAAGAAGGCCUUCGGGUUGUAAAACUCUUUCAGCCGGAACGAAAAGGUCACGGCUAAUACCCGUGACAAAUGACGGUACCGGAAGAAGAAGCACCGGCUAACUACGUGCCAGCAGCCGCGGUAAUACGUAGGGUGCAAGCGUUAAUCGGAAUUACUGGGCGUAAAGCGUGCGCAGGCGGUUUUGUAAGUCAGAUGUGAAAUCCCCGGGCUUAACCUGGGAACUGCGUUUGAAACUACAAGGCUAGAGUGUGGCAGAGGGGGGUGGAAUUCCACGUGUAGCAGUGAAAUGCGUAGAGAUGUGGAGGAACACCGAUGGCGAAGGCAGCCCCCUGGGUUAACACUGACGCUCAGGCACGAAAGCGUGGGGAGCAAACAGGAUUAGAUACCCUGGUAGUCCACGCCCUAAACGAUGUCAACUAGUUGUCGGGUCUUAACGGGCUUGGUAACGCAGCUAACGCGUGAAGUUGACCGCCUGGGGAGUACGGUCGCAAGAUUAA